rnacentral:rRNA from 1 species
ACGCUGGCGGCGUGCCUAAUACAUGCAAGUCGAACGAGAGCGACCGGUGCUUGCACUGGUCAAUCUAGUGGCGAACGGGUGAGUAACACGUGGGUAACCUGCCCAUCAGAGGGGGAUAACAUUCGGAAACGGAUGCUAAAACCGCAUAGGUCCUUUAACCGCAUGGUUGAAGGAGGAAAAGAGGCGCAAGCUUCUGCUGAUGGAUGGACCCGCGGUGCAUUAGCUAGUUGGUGAGGUAACGGCUCACCAAGGCCGUGAUGCAUAGCCGACCUGAGAGGGUGAUCGGCCACAUUGGGACUGAGACACGGCCCAAACUCCUACGGGAGGCAGCAGUAGGGAAUCUUCCGCAAUGGACGCAAGUCUGACGGAGCAACGCCGCGUGAGUGAAGAAGGUUUUCGGAUCGUAAAACUCUGUUGUUAGAGAAGAACAAGUGCUAGAGUAACUGUUAGCGCCUUGACGGUAUCUAACCAGAAAGCCACGGCUAACUACGUGCCAGCAGCCGCGGUAAUACGUAGGUGGCAAGCGUUGUCCGGAUUUAUUGGGCGUAAAGCGAGCGCAGGUGGUUCCUUAAGUCUGAUGUGAAAGCCCCCGGCUCAACCGGGGAGGGUCAUUGGAAACUGGGGAACUUGAGUGCAGAAGAGGAGAGUGGAAUUCCAUGUGUAGCGGUGAAAUGCGUAGAUAUAUGGAGGAACACCAGUGGCGAAGGCGACUCUCUGGUCUGUAACUGACGCUGAGGCUCGAAAGCGUGGGUAGCGAACAGGAUUAGAUACCCUGGUAGUCCACGCCGUAAACGAUGAGUGCUAAGUGUUGGAGGGUUUCCGCCCUUCAGUGCUGCAGUUAACGCAUUAAGCACUCCGCCUGGGGAGUACGACCGCAAGGUUGAAACUCAAAGGAAUUGACGGGGACCCGCACAAGC